GCAGUGGGGCUGAUGCUGGACCCCCCCCCCCCACUUUGCCCAGGUUCAAGCGCAGGUAUCGCCUCAAGUACGUGGAGAAGAGGGCGUUCAGGGCUGUGACGCUGUGAUGUGGAUCCCAUUGGAUGUGUUAUCCCAAUAAACCCUUUGGCACAAA